rnacentral:misc_RNA from 1 species
CAAAUCUUUUGCGAGUGCUGCUUAUGUAGCUACUCACAACAUUAGCACAAGGUCGCAAGGCCUUGAUGUUUACGCUUGUUUGUUUGACAGAGUUAGUUGAGACAAUAAAAAAGA